UUACAAGAAAAGCUCUAGGAUUACUAUGCAGGUCGCCCGUACCGCAAACCGACACAGGUAUCCGGGAUGAGUAUUCUAAGGCGCGCGAGUUAAAUCUCUCUAAGGAACUCGGCAAAUUAGCCCCGUAUCUUCGGUAUAAGGGGUGCCCUCUUCGGAGGGUCGCAGUUAAUAGCGUCAACCGACUGUUUAGCAAAAACACAGCUCUCUGCAAAGUCGCAAGACGACGUAUAGGGAGUGACACGUGACCAAUGCGAAAAGGUGAAAACCUGAGGUGCAAGCUUCGGGUCUAAGCCCUCGUGAAUGUCGGCCGUAACUAUAACGGUCCUAAGGUAGCGAAAUUCCUUGUCGGGUAAGUUCCGACCCGCA
rnacentral:rRNA from 1 species